UCCCUAGUAGUUCAGUGGUUAGGACUCUGAGUUUUCACUGCCAAGGGCACAGGUUCAAUCCCUGUUCGGGGAA
rfam:Ovis aries breed Texel chromosome 1, whole genome shotgun sequence.